UACGAAGGGGGCUAGCGUUGCUCGGAAUCACUGGGCGUAAAGGGUGCGUAGGCGGGUCUUUAAGUCAGGGGUGAAAUCCUGGAGCUCAACUCCAGAACUGCCUUUGAUACUGAAGAUCUUGAGUUCGGGAGAGGUGAGUGGAACUGCGAGUGUAGAGGUGAGAUUCGUAGAUAUUCGCAAGAACACCAGUGGCGAAGGUGGCUCACUGGCCCGAUACUGACGCUGAGGCACGAAAGCGUGGGGAGCAAACAGG
rnacentral:rRNA from 1 species